CAUACUUCUGCGCUUUCCCUGAAAGUGGAGCAUUAGCAACUGCAGUCAAAAAGCACCCUUGCUUCUUCAGCUCUGAUCCUGGCAGCAACUGUCUAAUUCUGUCUGGAGGAACUGGAAGACAGCACUGGAGGCAAGUUUAAAAAGGACCUAGUGACACCCUGCUGUCACAUCGGGUUUCGUGAAUCCACUUAUCAGUAGUCCAUUUACAAUUACUUUCCUCGUCCCAUCAGUAUUGUACAUUCGUGAGAGCUGGCUGGCUGGGAAGGAAGGAGAGCCCUGCUGAAGGUUCCCAUUGCUGUUAAGAAAACUGGCAUUAAAAUACUACUGACAGAUUGGACACUGUAUUCCUCCAGACAACAUUAAUCUGUCAAUGACUUUGAAGCAAAGACGUGACUGAUGAAGUUACGGAACUGGUGACAUAGGAAGUUGGUUUGAUUUUCAUAGGAUUUGUUCAGACGUCCUGCUGGCUUUAUUGAGGAAUUCUAUUCAAGUUUACUAAAGGAUUUACUGAAAUGGAAGGGAAAGCUCUGUGGACCAUCCAUGUACAUCUCUGAUUCCAAAAUUACCAUCAAAUCAAACAAUUGGAAACUGCUGGCCAGAAGCUCAGCAGCCUUCAGCAGGAAUAGCUCCACUGAAGUCAGAUAAAACAAUGCUGAUUCUUACCAACAGAGAAUUCAAAUUGCACUUCAAGGGGGCAUGCCCAUGCUGCUUGCCCUGCAUUGUUGCAAUAGACUUGUCACCUCCACAAAGACUAUUCUAAGACAAGCGCUUGUACUAUUUGUUGUUCAUUUCAUGUGUGACAGAAAUGGCUCUCAAGGGGUUCAUGAAAGCCAAAUGCUGAUUGUAGUUUCCAGCCCUUCUCAGCCUUGGAGAUGCCAUCAGUCCCUAAGAAAAAGAUUACUCCAACACGUUUUCUGUGCAGAUUGAAAGGAAAAGGAGAGGGC